rnacentral:rRNA from 1 species
GAUGAACGCUAGCGGCAGGCUUAAUACAUGCAAGUCGAGGGGCAGCAUGGUGUAGCAAUACACUGAUGGCGACCGGCAAACGGGUGCGGAACACGUACAGAACCUUCCUUCGAGCGGGGAAUAGCCCAGAGAAAUUUGGAUUAAUACCCCAUAGUAUAUUGAAAAGGCAUCUUUUUAAUAUUAAAGAUUUAUCACUUGAAGAUGGCUGUGCGGCUGAUUAGGUAGUUGGCGGGGUAACGGCCCACCAAGCCUGCGAUCAGUAACUGGUGUGAGGGCCCGACCAGGCACACGGGCACUGAGACACGGGCCUGAGUCCUGCGGAAGGUAGCAGGAAGGAAUAUUGGUCAAUAGACGAAAGUCUGAACCAGCCAUGCCGCGUGGAGGAAGAAGGUCCUCUGGAUUGUAAACUUCUUUUAUAUGGGACGAAAAAAGGCUUCUCUAAGUCGUCUGACGGUACCAUAUGAAUAAGCACCGGCUAACUCCGUGCCAGCCGCCGCAGUAAAAC